rfam:Triticum urartu cultivar G1812 contig286393, whole genome shotgun sequence.
AAUAUACUCCUUCCGUCCGGAAUUACUUGUCGCAGACAUGGAUGUAUCUAGACAUAUUUUUAGUUCUAGAUACAUCCAUUUCUAUCCAUUUUUGCAACAAGUAAUUCGGGAUGGAGGGAGUAUAUC